rnacentral:rRNA from 1 species
AUUCUGGCUCAGGAUGAACGCUGGCGGCGUGCCUAACACAUGCAAGUCGAACGGAGAUUAGACGCUGACGAGACUUCGGUCAAAUCUUGUUAAUCUUAGUGGCGGACGGGUGAGUAACGCGUGGGCAACCUGCCUCAUACUGGGGGAUAGCAGUUGGAAACGACUGAUAAUACCGCAUAAGCGCACGGUACCGCAUGGUACAGUGUGAAAAACUCCGGUGGUAUGAGAUGGGCCCGCGUCAGAUUAGCUAGUUGGUGAGGUAACGGCCCACCAAGGCGACGAUCUGUAGCCGGCCUGAGAGGGCGGACGGCCACAUUGGGACUGAGACACGGCCCAAACUCCUACGGGAGGCAGCAGUGGGGGAUAUUGCACAAUGGAGGAAACUCUGAUGCAGCGAACCGCCGCGUGAGUGAAGAAGUAUUUCGGUAUGUAAAGCUCUAUCAGCAGGGAAGAAAGGCCCGUAAGGGAGAUGACGGUACCUGACUAAGAACGCCCCGGCUAACUACGUGCCAGCCGCCGC